AAUCCAUAGGUUAAUGAGGCGAACCGGGGGAACUGAAACAUCUAAGUACCCCGAGGAAAAGAAAUCAACCGAGAUUCCCCCAGUAGCGGCGAGCGAACGGGGAGGAGCCCAGAGCCUGAAUCAGCAUGUGUGUUAGUGGAAGCGUCUGGAAAGGCGCGCGAUACAGGGUGACAGCCCCGUACACAAAAGCGCAUGUGCUGUGAGCUCGAUGAGUAGGGCGGGACACGUGGUAUCCUGUCUGAAUAUGGGGGGACCAUCCUCCAAGGCUAAAUACUCCUGACUGACCGAUAGUGAACCAGUACCGUGAGGGAAAGGCGAAAAGAACCCCGGCGAGGGGAGUGAAAAAGAACCUGAAACCGUGUACGUACAAGCAGUGGGAGCACCCUUUGGGUGUGACUGCGUACCUUUUGUAUAAUGGGUCAGCGACUUAUAUUCUGUAGCAAGGUUAACCGAAUAGGGGAGCCGGAGGGAAACCGAGUCUUAAUUGGGCGUUAAGUUGCAGGGUAUAGACCCGAAACCCGGUGAUCUAGCCAUGGGCAGGUUGAAGGUUGGGUAACACUAACUGGAGGACCGAACCGACUAAUGUUGAAAAAUUAGCGGAUGACCUGUGGCUGGGGGUGAAAGGCCAAUCAAACCGGGAGAUAGCUGGUUCUCCCCGAAAGCUAUUUAGGUAGCGCCUCGUGAAUUCAUCUCCGGGGGUAGAGCACUGUUUCGGCUAGGGGGCCAUCCCGGCUUACCAACCCGAUGCAAACUGCGAAUACCGGAGAAUGUUAUCACGGGAGACACACGGCGGGUGCUAACGUCCGUCGUGAAGAGGGAAACAACCCAGACCGCCAGCUAAGGUCCCAAAGUCAUGGUUAAGUGGGAAACGAUGUGGGAAGGCCCAGACAGCCAGGAUGUUGGCUUAGAAGCAGCCAUCAUUUAAAGAAAGCGUAAUAGCUCACUGGUCGAGUCGGCCUGCGCGGAAGAUGUAACGGGGCUAAACCAUGCACCGAAGCUGCGGCAGCGACACUGUGUGUUGUUGGGUAGGGGAGCGUUCUGUAAGCCUGUGAAGGUGUGUCGUGAGGCAUGCUGGAGGUAUCAGAAGUGCGAAUGCUGACAUAAGUAACGAUAAAGCGGGUGAAAAGCCCGCUCGCCGGAAGACCAAGGGUUCCUGUCCAACGUUAAUCGGGGCAGGGUGAGUCGACCCCUAAGGCGAGGCCGAAAGGCGUAGUCGAUGGGAAACGGGUUAAUAUUCCCGUACUUGGUGUUACUGCGAAGGGGGGACGGAGAAGGCUAUGUUGGCCGGGCGACGGUU
rnacentral:rRNA from 1 species